ensembl:piRNA 21ur-2383 ncRNA
UGUGUAAGUUCGAUGGUUUGA